UUUAGAAUAGAAUGGUUAAGAGUCGCUUGGUUUGGGGUUCCUUGCUAGUUUCUUUCGUGUUCAGUUUGCAGCUUCGGCUCAGAUUAGAUACACUUGAGAAAUGAACGUAUCCCCAUGGA
rnacentral:ncRNA from 1 species